GACAGAGGGUGCAAACGUUGUUCGGAAUUACUGGGCGUAAAGCGAGUGUAGGCGGUCUGCUAAGUCGGGUGUGAAAGUCCAGGGCUCAACCCUGGGAUGCCGGUGGAUACUGUCGGGCUCGAGUCCGGAAGAGGCGAGUGGAAUUCCUGGUGUAGCGGUGAAAUGCGCAGAUAUCAGGAGGAACACCAAUGGCGAAGGCAGCUCGCUGGGACGUGACUGACGCUGAGACGCGAAAGCGUGGGGAGCAAACAGG
rnacentral:rRNA from 1 species